AAAUGUAUGUAAAUCGGAAAACUCUAAGUUUUGUAGAAAUUUACUACGAAAAUAGGUCUCAUAUAUUCGUAUUUUUACCCACCCUAACACAAACAGUAUUUGCAACUAGCUUGCGGCGACAACCAGCUACUAAAUGCAGUUGACUUGCAGCUGAGUUGUAAUAAUUCAAAGUGCACACACCGAUUCGAUAUUCAAUUAAAGGUUUUGGUGGCAAAGAUUUACUAUAAAAACUCAAGCACGCUUUGGAAAAGUUAUCAAACAGUUAUUACUUUCGUAUUCAAUUACAAGUGUUCGCUUGCGCAACAAACCAAAAAGCAAAAAUGUUCAACCUCCACAAAGUGCUUAUCGUCUUCGCCGCCUUGGUGUGCAUCGCUGCUGCCUACCCAAGCAUCAUAGGACCAGCUAUCGUCCCCGGUCUUGCCUCGACUGUUGUUGUGGGACCAGUCGGACCUAUCGGACCCGUUGUAGUGCCCGGUCUGGGUCAUGGCGCCAUUCUUGGCAACCCUCAUUUACUUGGUUAAAUAACUACUUCUAAGCUAUACUAAUUGGACUGCCAACAUUUCCCAAUGGACAACCGCCUUUGCACGUCUACUCCCCGUUACUAUUUCUCACCCAAUUUCCACGAAUGUUAGGAAUUUCGCAAAUUUGGUAUAUUUUUGUGUUUCGUUCGUUGCAUUGUUGCGCACUCCUUAUCAAUUAUUAAUAAGUAAUUUUUUGUAAAUAUAUAUUUUCUUAAUUUGAUUUGAAUAAAUAUGCAAUAAACCAGUUAAA